AUAUAUAAUAUAUUCAUCUCAUCUCUCCCAUCAGUUUGCCACGCGUGGGUGGGAUUGCUUUCUAUGGUGAUCUGCAGGUUGGUUGACGCAAAAGGAAAGGAACAAUUUUAUAAGAUCAAUCAUGCCGAAGAAGCAUCCGUUUAUGUAUAUGCAGAUGAACGAUAACCUAUGCUUUCUGGAUAUCAGUAAAUUAUUGGCAUGGAGCUCUUUGGACAAGUCUCAGAGGCCUCGAAGGCCUGAGUUUAAGCUUGUGCAUGGUUCUUGUUUUCCAGACGGAAGAAGAUUGCCGACUAAGAUGGCAUAUAUGAUUGCGGAUUCCAAAUCAUAUAUUGUGGGGGGUCGCUUUCCUUUGCAGCCGCCCAACCUUGAGGUUUUUGCGUGUGAACCCAAUCCUGAUGAUCCAGAGGGCCUCUGCAAGAGUAACCUUCCCGCAUUGUCUGGUCCUUAAUUGGAUCCAUUCGUGUUCACCAUCGAGGACAAAAUUUAUGUGUUGGCCACGGAGUAUCGAGGAGGGCCCGUCGAAGAAAAAUCUCUAGCCCUUUUUGAGGUUUUCAAUCCCAUUCAUCUUUGGUCAUCGUGAAUUUCCUAAUAUUUUUGCCAACGACUGGCACGUUUGGGGCCACAAGAUCUUGAUUUCAAACUGUUGGGAGGCACACAAAUAUUACAUCUUUAACACUCAUGAAGAGAAAUGGGAGGAUGCAUUUGAAUUCCUGGAUGCAUCCGCUUAUGGUUUUGCAGAAUGUGAGGGAUUUCUAGUUGGCACAGCGUGUUCUUCUGUACUUACUUAUAAGUUGGAUUCCCAUGGCAUCCCUCGACGGUAUUCAGAGCUAGAUGAGCUUUGGAAGAUAUUUCGUCCUCCUCUAGACGAUAGCUAUACCCUCAUCACCCAUCUCGAUGAUGGUGGCCUGAUGUGCAUCCUGCAUUUUGGAAUUGAUUUAAAGUUGAAUGUGCAUCCUGCAUUCUGGAAUCGUUUAGUGGUGUUCCAAAUGUUAGUCUCAGACUAUGGUUCCAAUCAACAUGUCGUCCAUGUUGAUAUCAAGGCCAAACAAACUUACUGUUUCCCUCUGCUUGAUUAUCCACAAAUCCCAUUUUGAUUUUAA